rnacentral:rRNA from 1 species
AGCGAACGCUGGCGGCAGGCCUAACACAUGCAAGUCGAACGAACUCUUCGGAGUUAGUGGCGGACGGGUGAGUAACACGUGGGAACGUGCCUUUAGGUUCGGAAUAACUCAGGGAAACUUGUGCUAAUACCGCAUGUGCCCUUCGGGGGAAAGAUUUAUCGCCUUUAGAGCGGCCCGCGUCUGAUUAGCUAGUUGGUGAGGUAAAGGCUCACCAAGGCGACGAUCAGUAGCUGGUCUGAGAGGAUGAUCAGCCACAUUGGGACUGAGACACGGCCCAAACUCCUACGGGAGGCAGCAGUGGGGAAUCUUGCGCAAUGGGCGAAAGCCUGACGCAGCCAUGCCGCGUGAAUGAUGAAGGUCUUAGGAUUGUAAAAUUCUUUCACCGGGGACGAUAAUGACGGUACCCGGAGAAGAAGCCCCGGCUAACUUCGUG